AUUUGGGUGGUAUAGUGGCUACAAUGCUGGAUUUAGAAUCUGAAGGAUGUAAGUUUAAAUCCUACUUUAGAUA
rnacentral:tRNA from 1 species